rnacentral:rRNA from 1 species
GACGAACGCUGGCGGCGUGCUUAACACAUGCAAGUCGAGCGGUAAGGCUCCUUCGGGAGUACACGAGCGGCGAACGGGUGAGUAACACGUAAGCAAUCUGCCCUUCACACGGGGAUAACCCUCGGAAACGAGCGCUAAUACCCGAUACGACCACUUCCGGCAUCUGAUGGUGGUGGAAAGUUCUGGCGGUGAAGGAGGAGCUCGCGGCCCAUCAGCUUGUUGGUGGGGUAACGGCCCACCAAGGCAACGACGGGUAGCCGGCCUGAGAGGGUGACCGGCCACACUGGGACUGAGACACGGCCCAGACUCCUACGGGAGGCAGCAGUGGGGAAUAUUGGACAAUGGGCGAGAGCCUGAUCCAGCAACGCCGCGUGAGGGAUGACGGCCUUCGGGUUGUAAACCUCUUUCAGCAGGGACGAAGCGCAAGUGACGGUACCUGCAGAAGAAGCACCGGCCAACUACGUGCCAGCCGCCGCGGUAA